UACGUAGGGCGCAGGCGUAUCCGGAAUUAUUGGGCGUAAAGAGCUCGUAGGCGGUUUGUCGCGUCUGCCGUGAAAGUCCGGGGCUCAACUCCGGGAUCUGCGGUGGGUACGGGCAGACUAGAGUGAUGUAGGGGAGACUGGAAUUCCUGGUGUAGCGGUGAAAUGCGCAGAUAAUCAGGAGGAACACCGAUGGCGAAGGCAGGUCUCUGGGCAUUAACUGACGCUGAGGAGCGAAAGCAUGGGGAGCGAACAGG
rnacentral:rRNA from 1 species